rnacentral:misc_RNA from 1 species
AUUGGCUUGUGUUGGCGCGUUGGAUCCCUGCUCAGGCAGCGUCAACGUCGUCCCACGCACAUCUCUUCUGUUGUUGGUCCGAGCACGUCUUGUCCGUUGUUGGCUUCUUGCGUUAAUACCUACUGGUAAGGUAUUUUUUGGUUGGGAAUGGAAGGAUUCCACCCUGUGACAUUCCGCUUGGGGAUGUGGCAUCGGGUGGAACUGGAAGCAGGCUCCGUGUUCCACUUCUCUCGGGUAGCCUUGUGCUCGAGUUGAUGGCCCAUGUUGUUGUGUGCGAUAUCUCGGGUAUUGAACAUUGUGUGGGCACGAGGCCUUCGGCCAUUGUUUGUCCAAACUAAAAGCGUUCUAUGGUUGGUUGGAAUGACUGCCGUGGGCGUGUUUGUCGGGUCAUUUUGGCUCGGCUGGUGCGCCAACGGUGUCUGUUGGGAA